rnacentral:lncRNA from 1 species
CACAAACAAAAAAAGCGAUAGGGAUCCUUAUCCCUUUGUUAUUUGUUACUUUUAUGCUUCCACUUCUUAUCACCUACUGAGAAGUCCCUAGAAUUUCAUAUCCAGCCCUCUUACUUUUAAUAUUGGUCAUUAAUACCUACACUACAUGUUCAACACACAUGUUUGGCUGUACUUCUGAACACCUCCGUGUUCCUAGUGAAGUGAAAUUUAUCCAUUUAUAUGUAAACAAUUAUUCUAGACAAAUUUUCUGACAUUUGUU